rnacentral:rRNA from 1 species
UACGUAGGGAGCAAGCGUUGUCCGGAAUCAUUGGGCGUAAAGCGCGCGUAGGUGGCCUGUCGCGUCGGCUGUGAAAACUCGGGGCUCAACUCCGAGCUUGCAGUCGAUACGGGCAGGCUAGAGUUCGGCAGGGGAGACUGGAAUUCCUGGUGUAGCGGUGAAAUGCGCAGAUAUCAGGAGGAACACCGGUGGCGAAGGCGGGUCUCUGGGCCGAUACUGACACUGAGGAGCGAAAGCGUGGGGAGCGAACAGG